AUACGUAGGUGACAAGCGUUAUCCGGAUUUACUGGGCGUAAAGGGCGUGUAGGCGGUCUUGCAAGUCAGAAGUGAAAUUCCUGAGCUCAACUCGGGCGCUGCUUCUGAAACUGCAGGACUUGAGUGCUGGAGGGGAUAGCGGAAUUCCUAGUGGAGCGGUAAAAUGCGCAGAUAUUAGGAAGAACACCGGUGGCGAAGGCGGCUAUCUGGACAGUAACUGACGCUGAGGCGCGAAAGCGUGGGGAGCAAACAGGAUUAGAUACCCUGGUAGUCCACGCCGUAACCGAUGAAUACUAGGUGUAGGGGGUAUCGACUCCCUCUGUGCCGCAGUUAACACAAUAAGUAUUCCGCCUGGGGAGUAC
rnacentral:rRNA from 1 species